GGAAAAAUAAGUGUCAGUAUUCAACACUGGGUACAUUAGGUACUGAUUAUCUUUUCUAUUCUCAGUUGAAAAUACUUAAGAUUUGCUUUAUAAAUACCACAAUUAUCUUAACACUCUUCAGAGCUUAUGACCCAUAUGACCUCAUCUCUAAUUUCAUACAAAAUCUCCAUAAGCUGUAUACCAUAUAAUGAAAGAAUCAGACAAAUAGUGUAAAUGUGUAUUUUAAGUAUUCUAAGCAAGAAAAAGAGAGUUGAAAAAGUGUAUGUUUCUCAAAAGGUAAAAAUAUGUGAAUACAGAGAAAACACUCUGAAGUAUUUAUGUUGCAUAUCUAACUCUUGGGUAAGAUUCUCAAGGUUUAUAUUCCAUGUUGCAGACAUAGCUAAGCUUAACAUGGGUGAGGACCCGGCUUGAUCUACUAGCAACACCCACCCCACCCACCUCAAAUAAAAAGGAAUUAAAGAAUUGGACUGUCCUUUUAAUGUUAAAGCUAAUGGUAGAAGGGUAAUUUCUUCCUAGACAAUAAAAAGAGUAUUAUAUAGACUUGUAUAAAGUUUUUAAAAGGUGGGUUAUAGAACAAAAUUUUAAAAAGAUAGUUUUCCUUCUGAUAUGUUUUGUUUUUCUGAAUGAUUCAUUGAAUGCAGUUUCAGCAAAACUAGAAAGCUCAAAUGACUUUAAAGAAAUGCUGAGACAACUCAGUAUGUAUGAAAUUGUUUUUAUAAGUUUCUCUGUAUAAGUGCCUAUUUUUAAAAUUAAAAACAGUUCAAGUUUAGAAAUGAAUGUGAAAUCAAGCUUCAGUAUAUUUACUGAAAAUUACAAUGGAAAAGAUACCUAGGAAAUACAUAUUUGAAGACAGAUAUGAAGUACUUAAACCAUAAAUACCUUUAGCUGUGUUUAUGAUAAUGCUCUUAAUCAUUACUAGGGGCAUGUGUCAUUUAAGUAUAGACUAGGCAAUUAAAUGGUAUUUUGAUGAACUUGCAGAAUGAAAUAUAAAUCUACACAUUAAAACCAAUACUUGGAAAUCUUUUCAGGUGUUUUUAAAAUUAUUUUAGCAUCUAUAAUUUAUUCUAAGACACAAGCUUAAGUUUUUUUUAAUAAACUAUAGAUUAUUUUCUUAGAAUUGGCAAUCUAUUAUUUUAGUAAACAUAUAAUAAAGAUGUACAUACAAAACCGAUUCUGUAAGGUUCUUUCCUUAAAGGAGUACAGUAUAAGCCACGCGUGAUGGCAUGCCUUUGUUCCUGCUACUUGGGAGGCUGAGGUAAAAAAGAUCUCUUAAUCCUAAAAGUUUUAGACUAAUCUGGACAAGAGGGUUAGACUAUAUCUG
rnacentral:lncRNA from 1 species